AAUGUGGAAGCUGUAAAGACUUCUUUCUGUGAAGGAGCAUCCUUCAUUCUGAGGCCAUGAUUUUCCUAUUAUUUUUUGUAUUAAUAUGACCAUGCUUUUAUGAAAUAAUGGUGAUGGUUAGCACUACCUGGGAAAACUUCACAAAGGAGGUGGUGUUUGAGUGAAGUCUUGAGGUCCCCAGGGCUGCUUACCGGGCAGUGUGGAUGGCAUGCAGUGGGAUGGUGAAGGAUGGGGCCAGAGGAAGGAAGGACAUGCCCGCCCAGCCGUGUUUGGGAUGCUGCCUCCCUGGAGAGGGGUCAUGAAGCCUAGCAGGCAGUGGAGCCCACAGGACUUCCCCGGACUACAGGGGGCUUCUGAGCCACUGGGCUCCCCAGAGUGAUGAGAGACCUGCUGUGUAGACUACUCCUGAAAGACUUUCAUGAAGGCACAAAAGCAACAGGUUUGCUGAGUGGUGCUGCCCAUGCCCUGUAAGGAGAACGGUGUAUACUGUUUCCACACGAUGCAGCAAGCCAAGCUCCAGGCUGCACACUUGGGGUCUUUAAAGGAUGCCUCAUUAGAGUAAAAUGGGACUUACUUUUAUUUUUUUAUAACUCAAUUUUAUUCUGAGCCCCUGUUAUGCUAGGUGGCAGAAAUGUCAUCUCAGACAAUGUGGGGGGCCUGCCCCUUUCCUCAGGGCUUGCUAUCGAGGAAGUCAUCAAGGGCUUGCGAUCAAGGCCUGGGGUCCCACCUGUCCUCACAGCUUGCUGCUGGGACACCUGCUCCUCCGUGCCCCAGGUCUAGAGUCUCUGCUGGUGUUGGGCGCCUGGCAGCGUUUCACUGGGGAGGCCUCCUUGGCUCCAGCUCAUUCCUCUUUCUCUGUGUCUGGUGCCUGCCCAGGGCCUUUCCCAUUAAAUGGUACUGGGUGCUCUCUGGUCAUCGGCUCCACAGUCUGGAUGGAUGUUUUGCCUCCAAUCUGAAGCUUAGACAAGGCACGAGGGUCAAGGAUCCCCUCUCGGGACCCAUCAACAUCUGUAUUCCCCCACCUGGGGAAGGGUGCUGGUUUUCUUCAUUAUGCACCC
rnacentral:lncRNA from 1 species